UACGUAGGGCGCAAGCGUUGUCCGGAAUUAUUGGGCGUAAAGAGCUCGUAGGCGGCUUGUCACGUCGGGUGUGAAAACUCAGGGCUUAACCCUGAGCGUGCUUCCGAUACGGGCUGACUAGAGGUAUGCAGGGGAGAACGGAAUUCCUGGUGUAGCGGUGGAAUGCGCAGAUAUCAGGAGGAACACCGGUGGCGAAGGCGGGUCUCUGGGCAGUAACUGACGCUGAGGAGCGAAAGCGUGGGGAGCGAACAGG
rnacentral:rRNA from 1 species